AGUGUGUGCAUAAAUCUCAGCUCCUUGACUGACUGCAUCUGCACCUAAGGGAAGCUUCUCUGUCGCAAGUGAGGACUUGUGGCCACCCUGACCUGGGUGACACUUCAUCUUCCCUUUUGCCUCUGUCCCUCCAGCUGUGGCUCUGUGGAGUAAGACACGUGGUGGUGGCUGUUGGUGGAGCCUCAGAUGCCAGCGGUCACAAAAGACCCAGCCCCUCGCUGUGCACAGAGCACUUUCCCUGUGUUUCCAGCCUGGCAGCAUCCAGGCAGCAAGCAGAGGGCUGUGCAGAGGCUAGCAUGCUCCAGCCCUCAAGCUGUACUCUCCUCCCGCUCGCCUGCAGCUCAGCUGAGUGGAGGGCUCUCUGGUCCCCUGCAACUUCCCUGAGGAUGGUCUCGAAGGCAGGGAGCAGCCAGCCAACAGGCGCUGCGGGUGCACAGCCUCUCCCAGCACCCUGCCCACUCACUCUUGAGAAGCCCUGUGUCGUCAGUGUGGUGACGCGCCCUAGGAAGUUGCCCAUGUAUGGCUCCCCAAGUGAGUGAUAUCAUCACAAUCCGUGGCUCUGUCUAAAUGGGAUCAUUGGUGAAAUGAGAUUAGAGACGUCCAUCUGAGGAGGCAGCAGACCGAGCACCUGCUCUCUUGAAUCGAUGUCCCGGGGGACGGCACCGCGCACUAAUCAAGGCGUCCGUCUCCAUGGCUAAUUCCGUUAGCAGCCACGCGCCUGCCUCUUCCGCUCCGUGCCAGGCAGCCCCCACAUCCACAUGCAGUCCACUCCAGAUCCGUGUUUUCUAUUAUGCUUGAAUAUAUGGGACAUGCAUCUCGGUCCUCUGCCCGCCACCCUGCUGCAGUGUGCUUGUUUUGCAGAGCUGUGUGGUAGCCUGGCUGGACUCAGGACUGACCGGAGCAGGGACACACGCUGGGUCCUCCUGGCCUCCCUCCAGCCCAAGCACGCAGCCCCUGUCUGCCUGCUGAGAAUCCUCUGCUCCUUGCAUUUGGAUGCUGCCAGCAGUGCAGCUGCCACCGAGCCUCGAGUCGCAGUGCACCCUCUGCGGGGGAGCCAGAAGGUGAGUACCCUGGUCCCUCACCUGCACAGGUGGGUGGACACACUUGUGCUCACGGUGGAAUUGAUGGUGAGGGCCUGCUGGGAAUGCUAGAGAGUGUUGAGGCUGCAGUGUCUGUGGGAAAAGUGAAUAACCCACAGCAGCAUUGAGUGUUAGGUGUGAGGAGUUCAUCUCUAAGGAAAAAUCAACAUUAGAGCCAAAUUGCAGGUUUUCUCUUCUUGUUGUUUGGAAUUUACAGAUUUUGGCCAGUAUUCUCUGACUGCUUUAGCGAGUUUCUGUGACUGCAUGUUCUGUGACAUGGAGAGAUGAUUCCUGGUCACUGGCAGUGACUGAGCAUGGAGGGGGUGCGGUGCCUCGCUGGCCUCAGUCGGGGUGAAUGACCAGCCACGUGUGUCGGGUUGUUUCAUCCAGAGCUGCAGCUGCCUAAGAUGCAUUUAAAUGUGGAGCUCCCAAGCUGGUCGCUUGUUAAUGCUGUUCCAAAAUGGUCAAAGCAAAUUUAUGCAGCCUUUUCCUUGGUGUGCUGAGGAAGAAUAAGGAAAGGAUGGCAAAUACCUGGCUCCUCUUAGUGGGUAACCCAGGGCCCACUGGGUUUGGACUGUAGUCUGCUUUCAGCAGAAGGAGGCAGAUUGGCUAGAAAGCCAGUGAACCUCAAGCUGGGGAGACAAGCGAGCCCUGGGGUCAGAGUCAACCAAUCCCAGUGUUGGGGGCCUGGGGUCCAUGCCCCAGGAGCUGGGCUGUGGACUGCGUGUGGCUCGGGCUGAAAACAUAAGUACAGCUCCACUUGGAGACUCUGCCAACACUCAGUCUCCUCAGCUUAGGGGUAGCUGCAUUUGAUGAGGUUUUGGGGUUCUUCCUGUGUGGUUGAAUCAAUGAAGGGCAGAGACACGGCCACAAUCCAUCCCUGGCCUUGCCUUCUAAAGCAUCGGGCUCUGCGCCUGGUGUUCCCAAGGACACAGAGAGAUGUGUCUCCCAGCCAGGGCCUGGUGGCUGUCUCUGGACACAUGGGACGCCCUCCUCUGGGGUCCGUGAUGGCCUGCACCUGUCUAGUGUGCUCUGGACACUUGGAGAGUUUGUUAUUUCCUGUCGCUGUGGCUUUCCGUUGUUGUCUGCUCUGGCUUUGUGCGUGGCUGUGCACUCUUGUUGGAAGCUCCUAGGGAGCUGUGUGUGGGGUCUCCAGAGCAGGGGGUGAGCACAAGCCCAUGCUUUCAUCUGCGUGUUUCUAAUGGCCCAGCUCUGUCCUCUGAACCGGCUGUGUUGUGUGUCUGCCACCGCUGCUGCGUGCUCCCUGCCACUGUCCCCCAGCAUGGGGCUGGCUGGGUGAGGCCUCCGUGGAGGGGAUAGACCCCACCGUAUUCCUGGAGUGUGGACGCUGCUGUGUCCGUGACCGUGACCGUGACCAUCCCGGGUGGCAGACAGUCUGAGUGGGGCCAGAUCCACCAGACUGGCCUCAAAUUGCCUAGGGGCCCUGCAUGGUAAGAAACGGGUCCCCCACUCAAGUGACGGGUGCAGCCCCAACAACUGGGGUCGCUGGGCCUCUGCACGGUGCUCCCUGAAGCCUGUGGUUUAGCUUCCAUGUCACAGCGGUGUCCGAUGUUCUGCCCACACCAAGUGCGGAAGUGGGGAGAUACGAGGGGACAGGCAUGCUCCUCACCACACCAUCCUAAACUGGACCCCACACCAGAGGAACCCAGGGUGGGGGGCUGCAGGGGUGGGCAGGGUGGGCCUGCCCCUGCUCCAGGCUCCCCCAGCACCCCAGGGGUGCUGCCUCAGAAUCGCUCCGAAUCAGGACAGUGGGGUUGGGUCUCAGCUGUGCCUUCCUCCCCAGAAGCACCACCCUAUGAAUAUUCAUGCAUUCUUAAAUCGUUUAAGCAAUUAGUCUGAGUGUGUGCUGGCUGGUUGCAGCGCAUGGAAUCUGAAAUCAGCUUUUUUGUUCGGCAAUUUCUCCGGCAGCAUCAGCCAGUUAACUCCUAACCAACCGCCCCUGCCAGGAGUGAGUGAGCUUGCUGGUCAGGCAGGCGGGCUGAGCUGGGUGGGAGCUUCUCUCCUCCCUCAGGAAGCUAGCAGCUCUCAGGCUGAGCCAGCCAAGUGGAAACACCUAUUUACAUUUUAAUGAUCAGCUCUUUUGGAGAGAGCUAGUUCUUUGGACACAGAUUGAAUAAUUAGCCUGUCUCAGGCGAUAAUAUCUGUCAAGCAAAUGAGGCUGGGAGCAGAGUGAAGUUCACAGGAUCUUGGAGACCUCAGGUUCCACAGCUGCAGGUCCUUGUUGCGGUGGGGACUUUCUCAGAGAAAGUUUAAUUGAUAUCGAAUGUGGAUCCCAGCCUCAGGGUGCCAGUGCUUGCAGUUUGCUAUGUGAAGUCUGGAGCCCAGGGAGGUGCAGGUGUCCGUGGACACGCCUGUCCCUUCUCAGCCCUUUCCCCCUGGCAGGGGUGGAGAAGGCCCAGCCAGGGCUCUGGAGUGCAGGCGCCUGCAGCACUGCUGCUGGGUCUUAACCAGGACCCCAUAGUCCCCGUGGGGUGGCUUCUACAGCAGUGUGCUGUACACCAGCCUAUCCUGAACUACAUAGGCAGAGACAGGCUACCAGGAACACUGCCCACUGUUACAACUCCCAGGUUAGCACUGAGACAGCUGUCAUCCUCUGAGUGCUCUUGUCAGCUUCCAGGCCCUGGACAGGACCCAGCAGCAGAGCCUUUUGUUAGUUUGUCUUCCUCCUUCGUGACAGACUCUGCUGAUUUAAUAUAGGAAGAUAAUUUAAGAGUACAUGGUCUUUUUCAAACUUCAUUGGCAGGCGAUGGCACAGGGAACAACGUGGACCUUAGGCUACAGUGCUAGCCACUGCACUUGUCUGUCUGUCUACAUUUCUGAUUCAAUUUCCUCUCUCAUAAGUAGGUUUUGUGUUGUGGGAAGAUGCAUAAGGGUGCCUGGCUGGGUUAGGAGAACUUAGAAACCCAUGGCUGUGCACUCGCCGUGUCUUAGAUCUACAUGGUUCAGCCCAGUUAAACCAAGCAGCAGUCAGUUACUAGGGCAGGAGUUUGCACAGGACUCUGCUACGCUCAGCAGCAAAUAGCCCUGGGUGGGCCUGAGAGCUUGGCCUCUGGCAGGUGGCCACCUUGAGCCUGGACGGCUACUGGGUGUUUGGGAAACAUUGGUGAUAGAAAUUCCAGCACAAAAGCAAAAUUCAGGUUGAAAAAAUAUCUUCAGAAGCUUAAGAUAAAGUGUUUUCUUUGUAAAUCUGUUUCUUUGUGUUUCUGUUUGUUUGCUUUGAUCAUUUAAAAACACACAAACUGCUCGGGGAAUUUUGGAGUGACAUACAUAAUCUUACAUUUUAGUAUAGAUAGAAAGUACCUUCUCCCUUCGUAGUAAUACAUGUUUAAGAAAUAAUGAGCGGUUUUUCUAGUACUUAGUAGCUUUACAUUCUUGAUUUUUCUAAAGAAGAGAAAUUCAAGAUUUCCCCAAGGGACUCUGCACAAAGGGACCUCCAGACAACCGAGGAUAAGGAGGCUGCUUGUGGGAACUCCAGAGCGCUUCCACGCCAGCCCUACCCUGCCCUGCCCACCCUGCCCAGCUGUCACAGGGCCCCAAGCCUGAGCUCCGCAGCCUGUCCUCCCGUCCUCCCUGGGGCUGCUUGGCCGUGUGAAGGACAGGGACGCAGCGGCUCUUCUGCCUUCUCAGUGUGGCUGCAGGAACCCAGGGUCCCUGGGAACAGGGUUCUCAGCCGGCAGCUGCUGUCUAGACCUUGGCGUGGUCUGUUUCUGGGUGGAAACUGGCAGCAUCCCCUGGGGUAGACAGGCUAAGGGCUGUGAUGAAGAUGACCAGAGAGUGGGCAGACAGAGUGGCAGCAGAAGCUCGCCUGUCCCCCAGAACCCACAAAAAUGCAGUGUGGCAUAGAGUGAAAUCCAUUUCAGUGCACAGGUGAGCUUGAAUGAAAAAAAAGCAAAGGAAUCCCCUGAGCCCUGAGAAUCAAGAAAGAAUCUUAAAUCAGAGGACCAGCACCAGUUUGGGCGAGAAAGGAGCCCGGGAAGGACCAGGCUGCUCUGGAGCAGAUACCCUCAAGAUCGGAGGGGCCUAGUGACAGGCAGAGGCAUCUAGUCAUCAAAGUCACAGCCAGCGCGCUUCCCUGUCUGUGAGAAAAGGACGGGGAAACACUGGCCAGGGAGGUAUAGAGCGGUCAUCCCUCGCUGGGGCUGUGGGUCAAACACAGUGUCGCCCACACGGAACACAGCUCCAGGCACAGAUGGGAGCUGUCAAUCAUGUGAAACAUAUUACAGUCAGAGCCCAAGAGCCCCAGAGUGGUGAGGGGCUCCUUCCCAUGGGUCAGCCUACCUAGAUAAACAGAUGAUGAAGCUUCAAGGGCGAGAGGAAGACAAAGCCUUGGGAGAAGGAGCACUAUGCCCCAGGAGCCAUAGACCUGUGUGACAUCAGGCAGUGUGAAAAUUAUGGCAUGCACUUCCCAAAGGCAAAGGAACCCGGAUGGAAUGAAAGUGUGGACUGAAGUAAAACAGUAGCUAGGAAUAAGAUGAGUCAUGAGAAUUGACCAGUAUUUGAAUAUUAGAAAGUGGGUCAGACAGAGCUGAAAAGAGAGUCAGCAGAAGGAAAAACAGUGUGAGGACAUUUCCUAGAACUCUGCACAAAAAUAUAAAGCAUAAUGUGGAAGAAGAGUGAAAUGCACAGCAAAAGGCUGCAGAACCACAGAUGAGCUGAAGAGCAUGAGAAAGAAUGGGAAGGGAGG
ensembl:lncRNA